AAAACCGGACUUUCACUCCUUAGUUGGCUAUAAGAACCACUUUCUGUCCAUCCUUUUAAAAUUCAAAUUGAGGACUAUCAACCAUAUAAGUCAAAAUUUGAUUAGACAUGUGUAACUACUAGUAAUGAUAUAAAAUAAUCAUGUAAGAAUCUUGUCCUUAUACAAUUAACUUAAUUGAAGGCUACAAAUGUAUCAUCCAUGAUUUGAUUGCAAAUGUACAAUUGCUAAGUGUGAAAUGAAAUAAUUUUGUGAGUGAUUUGUGGCUGCACAAUUUUGGGGGGUAAUUAGUUUAUACAAAGCUAUUGGUUUAGAUAUGAUUGUAGGUCUGCAGGCAUAAAAGAUGAUUGUUAGCUGAAAAAUAGAAAACUGAACUAGAAUUUGUGAAGAUCAUCUGGAAUCCACAAAGAUGAACUUAAACUCACAUUAGUCUCACUAUUGCUAUCCCUCCAGGAAAAGUUGGUAGCUUUCAUUAUUGAGCUGUAUAUACAGCAGACCCAAUAAUUGGGGGAACGGAAGUAGUACAUCCAGUAGUGUAUGAAGGAGCUGUGGGCCAAGUUCAUCCCUCUUAACAAAAAGAGGUAGUGAAAUGCAAUCACUCCAGAAACUACAUGACAAA
rnacentral:lncRNA from 10 species